UGCCAGUCUCACCCGGCGUGAGAUCUCUGGAGACACCGGUGUUCAUUUAGUCCUACGACCCGAUGUGAAGUUGCCUUCCACCCUCCGUCACGGUUCUGUUGGUGCGAGAUACCUUUUUGUUCUGAGUCCAAAAGGAAGUAGGAAUGGGAAGGUGCUCUCCAAGGCGUUGGUGUGGGUUCUCUCAAGUUCUCCAAGAGAGAGGAAGCUCCUUCUGGUGGGAAGCACAAUUAGGCUGACUCAGUUUGAGGUCACAGGGGCCUUAGUAGCAAAGAGUGCAGGUGCCUGUGGACCUCAGAACAACCUGUGAAAGACUACAGGUUGAAGAGACCAUUACAACCACAGCAACUAGGGCAAGGGGAAGUACAGUCUUUGCUUGGCCUUGGUGGGAACCAAUUAGCUUAGACCAGAAGGAGAGUUAAGGUACUUAGCUUCUGCCACCAAGUACAGGGUAUUGGGUACUCCCAGGGAACUUAGCUUCAGCCACCAAGCACAAGAUACUAAGUAAGUACUCCCAGGGUACUUAGCUUCUGCCACCAAGUACAAGGUACUAAGUAAGUACUCCCAGGGUACUUAGCUUCUGCCACCAAGUACAAGGUACUAAGUACUCCCAGGGUACUUAGUUUCUACCACCAAGAGUUCUGCUUUGCUGGGGCGGUCCUUGGUCCUUUGUGUUCUCUGGGUGUGUGCUUGCUGCUGUUUGUAUGUGUGUGAAUUUCACAAAGCAGAAGAUUCUUAUUUGUAUAGGAAUGUACUCUGUAUAUUUCUCAAAAAGAGAAAGCUCACAAAAUGUAGGUUCUGACGUGUACCACCAUUACCACUAGCCCCGGCCACAGAAGCAUUCGUUCGCUCACUUAGCUCUUACAGCUUUUGCUAUUUCUUACUUUCUUUUUCUUUUUUUUGGAGCUGGGGACUUGCUAGGCAAGUGCUCUACCACUGAGCUAAAUCCCCAACCCUAUUUCUUACUUUUUUAAAAGUAUGUUUUCUUCUUCCUUUCAAACAGUCUGAUCUGCCAGGGAGCCUCCGGCCUUGAACACUGACCAGGUAAGAAUUCUAAAAUCUUUCCUUUUAGGAUCGUCAUGAACCUAAGUAGGACUCCAGAAGGGUCCACGAAAGUCGCAGUGGUCUUAUAGACUAGAGUGUUUAGGUUUGGUGUUCUUACAGAAAACAGCUACCUAUAGUUUUUAACAACAUUGGUCUGGCUCUGGGUUUAAAGAAAACAUGGAUCUUUUUAGUGAUAGUUAAAAUUGGAUUUUCGCCCACUUUUACCCUUAUCUUCUUAAAAAAACAAAACAAAACAAAAAAAACUGAGUCGAAAAGAAAAAUAUGAGCUGGAGAACAUUUGAAGUUGUUACCUUAAUAAUGGUUGUCCCUGUGGUGCCAAAAGUGAUUAAGGGAUUUCAGACAUUACGAUAACCUGUGCAAGACAGAGCCGCAGAGCAAUUAGUUUUGAGAAGUAAGCCUUGAUCUUAAUGGAUUGGUUAUAGAGGUGCAAGACUUUUCCCUUAGCAGUAAGCAGAACAAAGGGUCAGCUUAGGACCGGUGGGUUUCUUCUGGAAGAUACUUAAUUAACUUUGGAGAUGAGUUAAAGCCCGUCAGAACUGGCUGCAGACUUGAGAGGCCCAACUACCCCAGAUGUGGAGUUCCCAUUAGACACUGACUUGGGAUUUUUCACUCUACAUUAAAGUCCAACCUCAUUAUGAAAAAUUUUAAGUAUAUGUCAAAGAUAUAAUGGUCACAAGAAGUCCCCAGGUCCUUAUCAUCCAGUGUCAGUUACCAUCAACUCACAGCUCAGGUAUGCUUUUUCACUCUCAGCCUUCUCGCCCUUCUCCGUUGGGCUGAACGACAUGGCCACUGGAAGUCAAUGGCUGGACUUUCCAUUACUUAUUUAUGUUCCCAUCUAAUGGUGAUAGCAAAUGCCCAUUAGAACAGAAAGCCUCAUAGCCUGGCUUAAUCGGUUUCUAGAAUUUGUCAUCCAUUUGUUUCUUCACACCACAAAUGCAUACUUAGCAGUUAGCAGGCCCAAGACCCUCCUUUGGAUAAGAGGGUCGUUUUUCUUUUCAACUCACAACAAUGAGGUCCUUUAAGAUCGUCAAAUGAAGUUAUCUAUCAGAGACACAUUGACAGAAUGAAAAAAUGGCAUUCACCAUACAGCCUUAACAGUCAAAGAGUGUCUGAAGACCCUGUCCAGCUCUCCAAUGGCCAGCAACAACACCGCCAGCAUAGCGCAAGCCAGGAAACUGGUCGAGCAGCUGAAGAUGGAAGCCAGCAUCGACAGGAUAAAGGUGUCCAAGGCAGCUGCAGACUUGAUGGCCUACUGUGAGGCACAUGCCAAGGAAGAUCCCCUGCUGACCCCAGUCCCGGCCUCAGAAAAUCCCUUUCGGGAGAAGAAGUUCUUCUGCGCCAUCCUUUAAGUCUCUGAGAGGAGGCUGAAGAUGGUCGGGGCUCCCGGGACAUUGAUGUAGAGUUCCUAGCAGAGUGGGCGCCUUUCUCGUCCGCAGCAUUUAAAGAGAGGAAGGAGAACCAUCCUGGACACUCCGGGCUGUGCAUGUUUAAAGAACUGUCCCCUCAUGAGAAUGAAAGCUUGAUUCCAUGUCCUAACUUUAGAGAUCUGACCCUGCAGACCGGCCUGGAGGAGGGGAGUGUAUAAAAAAAACGAGAUUGGUGUCACUUCUUUUCUGCUACCCCCCCACCCCCCAGGACCUUACAUUUCUGCUUCAUAUUUAUAAACAAACAAAAUAAACAUUAAAGCUGGUGUCCUGAGCUGAGAUAUGGCUGACAUCCUGGGAAUGAGAAUUGUCCUUCAAGUACCCUCUGAUAAGAUGUCGCCCUGUGUAGCCACAGUCCAGUUUAAUGGCUUCCACGUUUAUAGUCUUUUGUGCCUUUUUCUUUUCCUUCCCUUUCUCUUUCUCUACCCCUCUCUGUUAGAGGACUGGGGGGAUUAGGCUGGGUUUGUGUGUUAGACUCACCUCCAAGGAGGAGAUGUUUAGAAAGAUGUUUCCCCAUGGGAUUUCUUCAUGAGAAUAACGAUAAGAAAACAAAGAAAUCAUACCACACACACGCACAUGCACGCACGCACACACACCACAAUGCCGGCUCUCUGUGUGUCCCCUUACCACUAUUCUCAAUAUUUGUAUAUGAUAGUUUCGAUUCUGCGAGUAAAAGUAAAUCAUGUGUUGUGACCGGUGCUUUCAUAUCCGUGGUAGUUUUUGAGUGACACUGCAUGAACAUGUCCCUACAUCGCAUCCAUUCAGAAGUUUCAUUGUUUAGCUGGAAAACUAAUAAGAGAAGUGAGAGAAAAAGAGGCCAGGGAGUGGGGGGAAAUCCUCUGUACUUUGAUAAUCGAAUCACUUCAACGCCUUAGCCAUGCCUGAAAUACCUCCUAGUGACCUGUGGUGUUAAGUACCCGGACCCACGGCAUUCGGGCUCACCCGGGAUCCAGGGCAGCUGGGUUACUCCUGCACUGGAGACCAGGCAGGUGUCCAUGGUGGCUUGGGAAGGCACUGUCAGAAUAUAACAUCAGCCCGUUCCCGCUUCCAGGAACCGUGGAAAGCAUGUGCAAAGGAACGCUUUCCAUGUUCAUAGAUAGCUAGGCAACCACAGCCCUCUAUAGUUCAAGCAUCAGAAGAAGUAAGCCCAUGGCUCCAAGGGAGGCGGCCAGCCUUGGGAUGCUUGUUGUUUAAGAAACAAAGUCCCCGAAUUGUGCUCUGAGCAGACCUUGUGGCUGACUCUUCUUCCGGCUGACGUGGCCCCAGUUUUUCACUUCCCCAAGAUUUCAAAGCAUUCACUGCUUUCUUCUCCACCCUGUUUCUCAGAGCCUCUCUGCCUUACUUAUAGCUCCCUCUGGCUAGUGCUCUCUUCCCACAAUAAGGCACCGGGAGCGAGUAUUUUUCAUUACAGUUAAACCCUCCGUCAGUAGCAGAAGGCCUCGGCUGCCUUCAGACUUUCUGUCACCUACGCGGUCAAGGAGAGCCUCUUACACGUACGUCUUUUUGUUUUCAAAUCCUAAAAAACCACUAAACCCAAGUAAAAUUUAUUUCCUCCUCUUGCCAUUCUCUUCCCAUUUUAAAAGUUGGUAGUACUUCUGAAGGGAAGAGACUUCCUAUGGCAAGGACACAUUUUCAAAAUAGAUUUGGUAAGAUAUUUUUCCUAACUCUUAUGGGUUUUCAGCUAAAGGAGUGAACUAUGCCCAUUUAAAGUUUCUGCCGGGGGUGGGAGAGACGAGGGUACAGGACUGAUUAUCAAUGAGCAAAUGCAAUUCUGUAACCUGAAACUUCUGUUCCGGAGGGUCUAGGGGGGUUGUUAGAGUUGGUGGGAUGCUCAUGAAGAUUUAAUGGUCAAAACAAACAGACAAAAACAAAACAAAACAAAACAAAAACCAAACCACUGUCAGCUUACAGAUAAUGCAAUUAAUAACACUGUAGAAUCCGGUAAAAGAAUCACAUUCAAAGUGAGCAGAGACAUGAACCUGUGUUCACAUGUCAACAUCCGUGACUGGGGCACUCUGUGCUGGUUGUGGGGUACACUAGGAGGAUUCCAGACUUCUGUGCAAAUUUAGAUCUCUGAAGCAGUUAAAAGGGGAACCUAAUCUUUAGAGUGCCCCUUGUACAGGUCUAGCAAUUAAACAUUCAGGAGUUGCAAAUUACUUGUGAGCAUGCCCACAGGAUAAAAGGGCAGGAAGCUCUGUCCUCUUCCACACAGAAGUUUCAGGAAAAUAUAGUCUUUUUUACAAUUUCAUAUCCUUCGGUAUGGAGCUAUGGCUGGAAUCAGUUUUGACUCAUUGAUGCUUGUGUUAAUUAAAGGGGAAAAAGGGUUUGUUUACUUGGAUUGGCUCCAAAGAGCUUAAUUCUUUCGGGAUGUCAACCACCAUUGUCACCAGCAUAAUUUUAUCGUGGGUUAACUAAUAGGAAACUUCAGUUUAACCAUUUAAGACCCUCAUUUCUCUAUACCAGGAAAAUAAUUAAAAUCUGCCCUAGAAUUAAUAAAUAAUAAAUAUCAUACUUAUAAUGCAAUGUCUAUUAAGAUACCUGAACCAUUUUAUUAUCAACUCCAAUUUAAAAUGUUUUCAAGUUUGAAAGUAAGUGUGAUGUAAGUCAAAUCAUCAGAUUUAAGAAGAAGGACAAGUAUCAUACUUUUCCCCACAUGCUUGUACUCACAUGAGUUUUGAGAAAAUCAAGCUGGUGACCUUUAGCAGAUUUUUUUUAAUGCUUUUUUCCCCCUUGGUGUUUGCUUCUAGCCAAUCCUGAAAAUGAUGAAUUAUUAUGUGUCUAUUGUGUCUCACAGGCCAACAAUUGUACCACGGUUCAGAUCGCCACACUUUUCCUGUAUAAGAUCUGUAGAAUGUGUCUUUGAAGAGGAGAAAACAGAAAAAAUGGGGGUGGGUUAUCUUAUGUUUUGAUGGGGUUUUUGCUUUUGGGGGUUUCUUGGUUGGCUGGACUUCGUUUUGUUUUGUUUUUGUUUUUGUUUUUGUUUUUUUCAAGACGGGGUCUCACUAUGUGGCUGUGGCUGUCUGGAACUUGUUCUGUAGACCAGGCUGGCCUCGAAUUCAAAGAUUCCCCCUGCCUCUGACUCUUGAGUGCUUGGGAAUAAAGGCGUGAGCUGCCACGCCCAGCUUAAAAACCUCGGAAGCAGGGAAACCUGAAUGUGAUGUGCACACCUUUAUCCCACAUGAACUGUGUGUUUGUUUUAAUAAACGGAAUUUUCAGAUUCAUUUCCUAUGGGGUCACUUUCAUUGCAAGGACCUGUGGGCCACCUCCCACAUCAGUACUGAUUUGAGAGGGGCCUGGAAAUACAGAAUGACAGGGAAACAGAGAAAAGGAUUCUCUUGAGGAGUCAGCUCAUAGCAGAUUUAAAGAAGAGGAAAAAUGCAUCUUAUCUGGAGCUCUGUGUAAAUCUCCCCUCCCUUAGUCACUGUGCCUUAUAUACAGCCCUUGUGAAGAAACAAGCACUGGAGGGAAUAUCUUCAGAGUUCUGCA
rnacentral:lncRNA from 1 species